AUUAGAUACCCGGGUAGUCCUAGCCGUAAACGAUACUCGCUAGGUGUCGGCCACGGUGCGACCGUUGUCGGUGCCGUAGGGAAGCCGUGAAGCGAGCCACCUGGGAAGUACGGCCGCAAGGCUGAAACUUAAAGGAAUUGGCGGGGGAGCACCACUACGGGUGGAGCUUGCGGUUUAAUUGGAUUCAACGCCGGAAAUCUUACCGGGACCGACAGCAAUAUGAAGGCCAGGCUGAAGACUUUGCCGGAUUAGCUGAGAGGUGGUGCAUGGC
rnacentral:rRNA from 1 species